UCCAGACUCCUACGGGAGGCAGCAGUGGGGGAUAUUGCACAAUGGGGGAAACCCUGAUGCAGCGACGCCGCGUGAGUGAAGAAGUAUUUCGGUAUGUAAAGCUCUAUCAGCAGGGAAGAAAAAAGACGGUACCUGACUAAGAAGCCCCGGCUAACUACGUGCCAGCAGCCGCGGUAAUACGUAGGGGGCAAGCGUUAUCCGGAUUUACUGGGUGUAAAGGGAGCGUAGACGGCAAUACAAGUCGGAAGUGAAAUACCCGGGCUCAACCUGGGAACUGCUUUGGAAACUGUAUGGCUGGAGUGCUGGAGAGGUAAGCGGAAUUCCUAGUGUAGCGGUGAAAUGCGUAGAUAUUAGGAGGAACACCAGUGGCGAAGGCGGCUUACUGGACAGUAACUGACGUUGAGGCUCGAAAGCGUGGGGAGCAAACAGGAUUAGAUACCCCAGUAUG
rnacentral:rRNA from 1 species